AUUAUCCGUCAGUUUCCAAAGCAUUUUCAUGGAUCGUUGUGAACGGAUCUGCCCCUGUCCGCUUCGCACCCAAGUGGAGCCACUCUCUGGCUCUUUACCAACAGCCUAAUCGCCUCAUUAGCAUAUCAACAAUAGUCCAAUUGCUCGCCAGUACCCCAGUCUGCCGCCGGCCGCUCCGACCCAGGUAUAAAGGCCUCUCCAAGCUGCGAAUCUACUCCUAGAGCGCACGCCAGCCUGCUGGACGAAAGCUUCCCGGAGCUCCACCUCGACCUGCGGCUCCACCGUCCCCCACCCCACCCCAACUUCGUCCCAUUGCCCGCUCCCUCUCUGCCGGCUUCCUCCUCGUCCGAGAUGCUCUCUGCAAAACUCCGACCUACGCAGGGUCCGAAAGCAGCCAGGCCUGGGGACCCCUCACCCCCACCCCCGCCGCUGCCACUAUUCGACAUGCUCUUUCGGCCCCGUCCAAUUUUAUUAGAAAUCAUUAUCCUUUUCGCAAUUAAACAUAACCACCAAACCAAGA